GGAGAGGUGGCCGAGUGGUUGAAGGCAGCCGCCUGCUAAGCGGUUGAAUUCUUGAAAAGGGGUUCCCCGGGUUCGAAUCCCGGCCUCUCCG
rnacentral:tRNA from 1 species